UACGUACCGUCCAAACGUUAUUCGGAAUUACUGGGCUUAAAGGGUGCGUAGGCGGUGCGGAAAGUUGGGUGUGAAAUCCCUCGGCUCAACCGAGGAACUGCGCUCAAAACUACCGUACUUGAGGAAGAUAGAGGUGAGCGGAACUUACGGUGGAGCGGUGAAAUGCGUUGAUAUCGUAAGGAACACCCGUGGCGAAAGCGGCUCACUGGGUCUUUUCUGACGCUGAUGCACGAAAGCUAGGGGAGCAAACGGG
rnacentral:rRNA from 1 species